AUCUCUGUUGCGUAACGGAUAGCGCGUUGGACAUCUUUUCCAAAGAUCGUGGGUUGAAUCCCACCUAGGAUG